GGAGUGUAGCUGAGUGGUAAAGUGCCUACCAUUUGUGAAGCUCUGGGUUCAAUCCCCAGCACCACCA
rnacentral:tRNA from 1 species